rnacentral:rRNA from 1 species
CAGCCGUAAACUAUGCGCGUUAGGUGUACUGGUGACCACGAGUCACCGGGGUGCCGAAGGGAAACCGUGAAACGUGCCGCCUGGGAAGUACGGUCGCAAAGGCUGAAACUUAAAGGGAAUUGGCGGGGGAGCACCACAACGGGUGGAGCCUGCGGUUUAAUUGGACUCAACGCCGGAAAUCUCACCGGAUAGGACAGACAUAUGAUAGUCGGGCUGAAAGACUCUACUUGAUGAUCUGAGAGGAGGUGCAUGGCGUCAGUGACU